UGGGGAAUUUUGGACAAUGGGCGAAAGCCUGAUCCAGCAAUGCCGCGUGUGUGAAGAAGGCCUUCGGGUUGUAAAGCAUCUUUUGAUCCGGAAAGAAAUCCUUGGCUCUAAUACAGGUCGGGGGAUGACGGUACCGGAAGAAUAAGCACCGGCUAACUACGUGCCAGCAGCCGCGGUAAUACGUAGGGUGCAAGCGUUAAUCGGAAUUACUGGGCGUAAAGCGUGCGCAGGCGGUUUGCUAAGACCGAUGUGAAAUCCCCGGGCUCAACCUGGGAACUGCAUUGGUGACUGGCAGGCUAGAGUAUGGCAGAGGGGGGUAGAAUUCCACGUGUAGCAGUGAAAUGCGUAGAGAUGUGGAGGAAUACCGAUGGCGAAGGCAGCCCCCUGGGCCAAUACUGACGCUCAUGCACGAAAGCGUGGGGAGCAAACAGGAUUAGAUACCCUGGUAGUCCACGCCCUAAACGAUGUCAACUAGUUGUUGGGGAUUCAUUUCCUUAGUAACGUAGCUAACGCGUGAAGUUGACCGCCUGGGGAGUACGGUCGCAAGAUUAAAACUCAAAGGAAUUGACGGGGUCAUAGCUGUUUCCU
rnacentral:rRNA from 1 species